rnacentral:misc_RNA from 1 species
GAUGAAGACGCAGCGAAAUGCGAUAAGUAAUGUGAAUUGCAGAAUUCAGUGAAUCAUCGAGUCUUUGAACGCACAUUGCGCCCCCUGGUAUUCCGGGGGGCAUGCCUGUCCGAGCGUCAUUGCUGCCCUCAAGCACGGCUUGUGUGUUGGGCCCCCGUCCCCGGUUUCCCCCGGGGACGGGCCCGAAAGGCAGCGGCGGCACCGCGUCCGGUCCUCGAGCGUAUGGGGCUUUGUCACCCGCUCUGUAGGCCCGGCCGGCGCCAGCCGACACCCAACUUUAUUUCUAAGGUUGACCUCGGAUCAGGUAGGGAUACCCGCUGAACUUAAGCAUAUCAAUAAGCGGAGGA